AGUGGAUGGGGAGCAACCUAGUUGUACGUGUGUAAAGGUAGUGCCAAGAAAAGCGGUGAUCAUGAUGAAAAUCAAUUCCCGGUACCCGAAACCGACACAGGUGGGCAAGUAGAGAAGACUAAGGGGCGCGAGGUAACUCUCUCCAAGGAACUCGGCAAAUGACCCCGUAACUUAGGGAGAAGGGGUGCCACCGAGAGGUGGUCGCAGUGAAGAGGCCCAGGCGACUGUUUAGCAAAAACAUAGGUCUCUGCAAACUCGAAAGAGGAGGUAUAGGGGCUGACGCCUGCCCAGUGCCGGAAGGUUAAAGAAGUUGGUCAGUCUUAGGAUGAAGCUAGCGACUGAAGCCCCGGUGAACGGCGGCCGUAACUAUAACGGUCCUAAGGUAGCGAAAUUCCUUGUCGGGUAGGUUCCGACCCGCACGAAAGGCGUAACGAUCUGGGCGCUGUCUCGGAGAGAGGCUCGGCGAAAUAGGAUUGUCUGUGAAGAUACGGACUACCUGCAUUUGGACAGAAAGACCCUAUGAAGCUUUACUAUAGCUUGGAAUUGUGUUCGGGCUUCCUGUGCGCAGGAUAGGUGGGAGGCGUAGAAGGUAUUCUUGUGGGGAUACUGGAGCCAACGGUGAGAUACCACUCUCAGGAGGCUAGAAUUCUAACUUAAUUAAGGACAGUUUCAGGUGGGUAGUUUGACUGGGGCGGUCGCCUCCAAAAAGGUAACGGAGGCGUACAAAGGUUCCCUCAGACUGGUUGGAAAUCAGUCGAAGAGUGCAAAGGCAGAAGGGAGCUUGACUGCGAGAAGUACAGUUCGAGCAGGGUGGAAACACGGUCUUAGUGAUCCGACGGUGCUGUGUGGAAGGGCCGUCGCUCAACGGAUAAAAGUUACUCUAGGAUAACAGGCUGGUCUCCCCCAAGAGUUCACAUCGACGGGGAGGUUUGGCACCUCGAUGUCGGCUCAUCGCAACCUGGGGCGGAAGUACGUCCCAAGGGUUGGGCUGUUCGCCCAUUAAAGCGGUACGUGAGCUGGGUUCAGAACGUCGUGAGACAGUUCGGUCCAUAUCCGAUGUAGGCGUGAGAAUAUUGAGAGGAGCCUUCCUUAGUACGAGAGGACCGGGAAGGACGCACCGCUGGUGUACCUGUUAUGAUGCCAAUUGUAAACGCAGGGUAGCCAAGUGCGGAGAGGAUAACCGCUGAAAGCAUCUAAGUGGGAAGCCCACCUCAAGAUGAGUAUUCUGGUGUAAGGUCACGGGAAGACGACCCGUAAAUAGGCACGAGGUGGAAGUGCAGAGAUGUAUGAAGCCAAAGUGCACUAAUAGACCGUCGGCUUGACC
rnacentral:rRNA from 1 species